rnacentral:rRNA from 1 species
ACGGGAGGCAGCAGUGGGGAAUAUUGGGCAAUGGGCGCAAGCCUGACCCAGUAAUGCCGCGUGAAGGAAGAAGGCUUUCGGGUUGUAAACUUCUUUUAAGUGGGACGAUAAUGACGGUACCACUUGAAUAAGCUCCGGCUAACUACGUGCCAGCAGCCGCGGUAAUACGUAGGGAGCAAGCGUUAUCCGGAUUUACUGGGUGUAAAGGGCGUGUAGGCGGGACAUCAAGUCAGAUGUGAAAGCACGAAGCUCAACUUCGUGUCUGCAUUUGAAACUGAUGUUCUUGAGUGUUGGAGAGGCUAACGGAAUUCCUAGUGUAGCGGUGAAAUGCGUAGAUAUUAGGAGGAACACCGGUGGCGAAGGCGAUUUACUGGACGACAACUGACGCUGAGACACGAAAGUAUGGGGAGCAAACAGGAUUAGAUACCCUGGUA